GAACGCGGUUGUUACUACUGUUAGUAACGCGUGUGCGCUCUUACUGUUCGUAUUGUGUGUAAUAUUCAAUCACGUGCCGUUAUCGUGUUUCUCUAUUCUUUUUAUUCACAGAAAAGCGAAGUGACUAUGCAGUAGUGAUUAAUAUACACAGUGCAAAGUAAAAGAGGACAACAUAGAUCGUUUAUCUAAACUUUAUUAAGAAAUUCUUUGAAACGUAACUUAAUAUUUAAUAAAAUAUUUAACAAACGACAAUUAAAACAAUAUAUCUUAUCUUGUACGCGCUAAUAAAGCGAGUGAAGCAAUUGCAAAGCCCCGAUGAGGACUCCGCGGGUGGGGACUACUACCAGCUGACAUAUCCUAACUAGCGACCACAACCCGCCGGCCCUUCUCUGUCGACUAGCGAAACCACACUAAAUCGCAGCGACUAAGUCGGCAUAGUGUUGAGAACACACGGACGUAAUUACACACUUAGGGACAGUAAUCAGGCAUAACGGGACCUUUUUUAAAACAAGGUCUCUCGAACAAAAAAGAAAGAAAGAAAGAAAGAAAGAAAGAAAUGAAAUGGCGAAUAACAAUGAUAAAAUAAUUUUACACGCGUGAAAAAUAUCCAAUUUUCGGCGACGAAAUUAAUUUUUCCGAUAAGCUUUUAACAACGUGGUUUUAAUCAAUGAUGAUGAGAGGAGAAGUUGUUUGAGAAGUUGAAAUUCUCGAGAAUCGUUUCUCUCGAUCCGAUAUUUCUCACAUACUAUGGGAUCGCAUCCACUCCACAUACUAUCGAGAGCAAACUUUUCCAAAUUUUGUUCUCAAUCGGUGAUUGUAUUCGCAUCGCUACGGAAACACUAUACGUAGUCGUUUGGAUAGGAAAAAAAGAAAAAGAAAAAGAAAAAAAAAAAAAAAAAACGCUAGCACAAGCAGAUAAGGAUAAUAAAAAGAAGAUGAUAAACACUGAUGAUGACAAGUAGCAUGAAUUACGAUAGAAAUUAUUUUUCCAAUUUCAUACGAGCCUUCGUCACGUCCGAUAACUUUCGUCCUUGUCAAAGUUCCGAAAGAAGAAGAAGAAGAAAAAAAAAAAAAAAAAAAAAAUAAAAAUAAAAAAAUAAAAUCCGAACCGCUUUUUAGGUUCGAUUUUUUUCCCUUUUUCAGUGUGUUUUCUAGUCUGCUAGCUGAUCCAAUUUAAUCGUCGCUUAAAUCGAUAAAUAUAUGGCGUAUAGAAAGUGAGUAGAUUACAUCGUCGUAUUCGUACUCGAUUCCCAGUGUUAUUAUUAUCUAUAAUAAUAAUAAUAAUAAUAUUAAUAAUAAUAAUAAUAAUAAUAAUAAUAAUAAUGAUAAUAAUAAUAAGAAAGAAGGUAUACUAAUUAUUAUAAUAUAUCGAAUAAGUAACGAAUUGAUCGUCACCAACACGGCCAGUAUCGGUGUUUUAUUCCGUUCUCUUCAUUUUUUUUUUUUUUUUUUUUUUUUUUUUUUUUUUUAUAUAUCUAUUAUUCUUUCUUCUCUAUUUUACGUAAGAAAACAAAGCAUGUUACAAAGGAUAUUGCAGCACGAUCGCUUCUUUUAAUUUGCUUCGUUUCACUGUGAUUCCAUUCUCUUUAUUUGUCAAUUAUUCACGAAUCAUUUCCAUCAUAGACAUAGUGUAUAGGUAGAUUUGAGGUAAUGCCAAAUAUUAGUUGUGUUUAUCUUUUAAUUGUACAUUUGAUGUUACCGUAGAAUUAUUUUUUUUUCUUUCUUUUUUAAAAUCGCUAAUAGGUUUAUUAUAAUUGUGAUCGAAUGUAAUUGUAAUAAUUGAUUAUUUGAACUUCGUAUACUUUCGCCAAUUGGCGAAAUUACAUUGAAUUCCUAUACGUUUAUCAUAUACGUAUUUCCUUUGCGAAAAUAUUAUUUUUAUCAUUGGACGUACGUAUCUAGUUACAUAUAACGCGACAUAAUUAUUAUUUCCAACAACAGGAAUUAAUCUUCUCAUUUUGAAACAUUAAUACAUAUCCUCUCUUAAACGCAAGCAUUUAAUAAGCAUUUAUAAAUAUAAAGCGAGAGCUGUUAAGAAUUUAGAGUGAACCGUACGACGAAUAUCAAUCCAAUUUGCUUCCAUUAAGUGUACUAAAAUGUUUCCAGUAAACUAAGCUCGUUGACUAAAACCCUCGAGGGGGGUGAAGUUCAUGGCCAUGGGUCGAGUUUGUAAUUAUCCUAGCUAACCAACCUCGAAAAUUUCUGUCUACCAAAUUGAUACUCCCUCAUGCUCUCGAAUGCACGAGAUAAAUUAACACAUCUCUUCCAAUAUGGACGAUCUUAACUGUCCGUUAUUCGAUCACUCCUUGCCUUAAUUCUUUUCUCCAAACUUAUAAUAAUUUCGCUUCCUUGAAUGGAUGAUGCUGUACAGCAGCCCUAUAGAAAUUGUUGUUUCAGCAUUUAAUCGGCAUUGGCAUAUUCAAAAGUAUGCCAAUAAUAGCAUGAUACUGGCACAACAAUUUUCACAAUUGUACACAAGAUGCGAGACAUCAUAUAUAUAUAUAUAUAUAUAUAUAUAUAUAUAUAUAUAUAUAUAUANCCAUCAAACUGGAGCACUUUCUAUUAAAAUAUACUUAAUUUUAAUAUAAAUGUUGCUCCAUCGCGAUAUCAAAUGGAUAACAACUUUUAAGAUAUUCUUAUUUUAUUAGACUGGGUUUAAUAUAUCUAAGAUAAUCUGACUAAACGUUUCAAAGUUUGGAUUACGUCAAAAGGAAGAAUUCAGAAAUGGCCGUCCUUCUUUACCAACAAGUAUUCGAACUCAGCUCCUGCUUCUUACCUCAGCUCGAAGGGGAUACGUAUUAAUGUAUUUUCGAUUAAUUGUUAUUAACACUGUACACAAAUUCACGAGGAUUGUAUUAUACAACGUUAGAUUUCGUAAUAUUAUCCGCAUAUAGUUUUCUAUCAAUAUAAACACAAUAUCUUGGAGUACAUUUCGAUAUACUAUACUCAUAACUACAUUCGAAUUUUCCGAUAAAAGGAAAAAAUAACAGAGAGAUGGUAGACACCUCGUAUCACGGACCUAAAUAACGCACGAACCAUCCACGACAGUGGCUCUCAAUUUUCCGAGUAGCGAAUCUUCUUUCCACGAGUCUUUUGACAGUAUUUUGAUUGCAUUUGCGUAUUCUAACCUCAAAUUUUUAUUAUUUAUUAUUUUAUUUAUUCUAUCUUGGAAAGGAGGGUCGCGACUGGAGAAAAUAUCGCUGGAGAGAACGCUGAUCUACGUGAGAUUUUGAAAAAGGAUGCGCUGCUAAGUGCCUCGAUACCUCGGUCGAACAAAAAUUCAUACGAACAAUAACGGAGUAAUCGUUGUAUCGUGCGUUUCGUGAAUCAUACAUGCUCUCCCCCUUCCUGUGCGUGCAUCCCAGAACGAUUUCAACUAGAGGGAGGAUCGAGUAGGGUUGCGAGAAAGGGAAGGUUAAACAAUGGUGAAAAAGGGGGGUUGGAAUUUUAUGGGGGGCGGGGAGGUUAAGGCACUUGUGACUUUUUAUUGGCGGCAUUUAUGAUUCAUGACGUACGAAUCAUCCGCAUUGUAUUCAUUCAAAUCGUGGACUUUUCUUUUUUUUUGAUAAUUUGAGAUUAGGCAAAUGUAUCUUUAUUUUUAUUAUUUAUGUUAAAGUAGAAAUAUAAGUAUUUUCGAUAAAAGAAAUUAUAUGUUACAGUGAAAGCGUGAAGUGUUUAGUAAAUGUAUACAGUCGAUGUGUGCAUUUACGUAAGAAUUUAGAGCGAGGAAUUAACAAAGGCCAAGUAUAAAAGUGUCUAUAUAAAAACUAGAUAAUUAUUAUAGACAAUUGCAUACGUUGACAAUUGCAAAUGUAUAUAUUUAUUAAACACGAACACUUCUGUUCUUUGUAACAUAUGCUUCUUUGAUAAUUUUAAAGAAAGAUAGGUUUAUCUUAAACUCCAUUUCGUUUCGUCGUUUUUUAGAAAUUUUACACUUCUAACGAGUUCUUCCAACUAUGUGCAAAGAAUAUAAAAGAGAAUUUUAUCGAAAAAGAUAAUUCAUCGUGAAAUUAUAUAUAAGUUUAUUGUUUUUUUUUUUUUUUGAAUUCAAUUUGAAAAUUCAGUUCUUUUAUGGAAAAGAAUAAUGUGCGAUUAUAGAGAUUGAAUUUACAUAUUGUUUUCAUUAUUUUUUUUUUUUUUUUUUCAAAACGUAUUAUAUGCAGGAUUAAUUUCUUUUGGCGCGUCGUAAUUUUUAUUCGAAUACUUUUUCUCUUUAUUUCUCUUAAUAAUUCGAUUGUGAUCGAUUGAAUAUUAUCAAUAAAAUCGCGUGAUUUUACGAUUCUUCUUAUCACAGAUAUCACGUUGAUAUGAUCUUUACGAAUUGCAAUUGAUAAUAGUCUUGAUAACUCAUAGAAAGAAAAAAAAAUAUAUAUAUAUAUAUAAAUAUAUAAAUAAAUAAAUAAAAGUAUUAUAUAUUGCAAUAAUGUUAAUACGAAUAUAAUUUUCUGUUAUGUCAGAAAUUAAGAAUUAUUCUCAUUACAUACGCAUAUUAUGCGCGUAGCAAAUUAUUUAUCAAAUUAUCUAUCUAUUUAAAUUAUUUUAUCCGUUGAUAUAUCAAGCUGAUAAACAAUUUUACGUAUGUUGCUUCGUUUGCGCUAUUCGUUUGAAACGAUACAAGGAAAUACGUAAAUUAGUUGAAAUGCCGCCAUUAAAGGUGCUAAUAAAUUAUUUUACUCGAACGAACGAAUGUGUUAAUUGUGUACCUAAUUUUUAACCCUUAGCUUUUAAACACUUCAACCAGUUUUAAUAAUUAAAUCGAAACCGCGGUCCAAAAAAAUUUUCAUCAAUGAAAAAAAAUUCUCAUUAACCAUUCUCAUUACAUUGAUGCGAUAAUUUUUUAGAUUAAACUUUACACAAAAGUGUAAAAAAAUUUACGAAUGUAUCUGUGCUUUGAGAAACCAUUCAUCCAUUCGAUGUAAUUUUUAUUUCAAACGUUCGAAACAUUUUACUCGUACGAAAGAAGAAGAAGAAAAUAAUAAUAAUAAUAAUAAUAAUAAGGAGAAGGAAAGAGCCAGAUUUUUCUGUAAAAAUUCAUGUGUUACGUAUUUUUAAUAAGUCCCCAUCCUCGUUAACGUUUGAAGAUUAUUCUAUUUGGUUGGAGAGAUGUUUAAUUUCGUAAUAGCUGUUGCAAUUGUAUUGAUGAAGAUGUAUUUAUGUACGAAACAAAUAAAGGCUGCAUUUAAAAUCCUAA